rnacentral:rRNA from 1 species
AGCGGCGGAUGGGUGAGUAACACGUGGGGAACCUGCCCCUAAGUCUGGGAUACCAUUUGGAAACAGGUGCUAAUACCGGAUAAUAAAGCAGAUCGCAUGAUCAGCUUUUGAAAGGCGGCGUAAGCUGUCGCUAAGGGAUGGCCCCGCGGUGCAUUAGCUAGUUGGUAAGGUAACGGCUUACCAAGGCGACGAUGCAUAGCCGAGUUGAGAGACUGAUCGGCCACAUUGGGACUGAGACACGGCCCAAACUCCUACGGGAGGCAGCAGUAGGGAAUCUUCCACAAUGGACGCAAGUCUGAUGGAGCAACGCCGCGUGAGUGAAGAAGGUUUUCGGAUCGUAAAGCUCUGUUGUUGGUGAAGAAGGAUAGAGGUAGUAACUGGCCUUUAUUUGACGGUAAUCAACCAGAAAGUCACGGCUAACAACGUGCCAGCAGCCGCGGUAAUACGUAGGUGGCAAGCGUUGUCCGGAUUUAUUGGGCGUAAAGCGAGCGCAGGCGGAAAAAUAAGUCUAAUGUGAAAGCCCUCGGCUUAACCGAGGAACUGCAUCGGAAACUGUUUUUCUUGAGUGCAGAAGAGGAGAGUGGAACUCCAUGUGUAGCGGUGGAAUGCGUAGAUAUAUGGAAGAACACCAGUGGCGAAGGCGGCUCUCUGGUCUGCAACUGACGCUGAGGCUCGAAAGCAUGGGUAGCGAACAGGAUUAGAUACCCUGGUAGUCCAUGCCGUAAACGAUGAGUGCUAAGUGU